UCGGAGUACGAACGCGGCGUAUGAAAUCUGUAAUACAGACGGAGGCGACAGACGGAGACAAGAAUUGUGAAGAAAUACGGACAAGUUCAGAAACUUAUGCAGGAACUGUAGAAAGCUGCAUACCUACGUGGUCUGUUGGCGUGUACGUGUUGGUAGGUUUAGAACACCUCAAGCAACAAACUCCACCUUCAAUUUCAAGCAUUCACACCAAACCAUCUUUGUAUAAAAAGAGUUUCACUUCAGAUGGGUUUGCUACUUCUUCCCAAGAAAGUUCUCCAAAAGUCCCACGAAAGCUUCAGGAAAAGCACCUGUUCAACAAAAGUACAUCUUCAGGUGGGCCUCAUGAUGAAGCUUCAUCGUCAGGAUCUACAGAUCCUGGCCCAAAAAGACCUGCAGAUGGAACACUCAGGACCAUUUUGGCCUAGCUAAUGACACGAAUGAAGUCUGUGGAUGAAAACGUGCAGAUGCUACUAAACAUCCAACAGUCAAGAGAGUCAAGAGAAGAUGUGGAGGAUGUUCUUCCAGCUCCUGUGAGCAGCUCGGAGGAGCUGGCUGACCUGUGUACUAAAUUAGCUGAUAAAUUUUUAAAAAAUAAACUGGCAAGAAUAAGUUGUAUCUUCUUGGAUUAUGUUUUUGGAUAUUUUAAAUACUACUACAUAGAUGCAAGAAUAUUUUGUUUAAUAACAGUAUAUUUUGAAAUAUCCAUAGUACCCCUAUUAUUUGUUGCAGACACAGUAUUUGUCAUCCUUAGGAGGGCACAGCCUUGGAGACACUGUUCACAGGAUUUUUCGAUAGCUGGGGACCAAUAGUGUGUGGUCAACAUAUAGCCUGAAGGGAAAAAAGAGGAAGCAAGCCUUUGCUAAUCUUCCUCUUUGCAAAGUUAUCAUUAGAGCAUGCUUGAAAACCCAUGCAAAGGCAAAGAUAUCUGAAGUGGAAACUGAAAUUAGAGAGGCCCUGAAGCAUGCUCCGAAAAGCAAAGGUGGCUCAAGAUACAAGGUGAGCAGUGAAUUUCAUUCACUUUGUUUUGAUAUUCCCUCAACUUCAUAAUUAGUGCAUCUCCUCACCCCUCUUCACCAUUCUAUAUUUCCCUUCAUGCCAUUCUUCAUUUCAUUCCACUUGUGUCCAUGCUUCAUCUUUAUAUAUGUACACCGUCAUUGCUCUUAUCCUACCAAUAUAUCACUCAACAACUCCUCUCUAGCAAUAAUUGAUAUCCAAUACAAGUGCUCUUGACUGUUGUGCCUCAUUUGAAAUCAAUGUUUCAGAGCCAUACACUAUAACUGGAAGUUUUUUUUCAAUUUCUGUAUGGACACAUUCUUCAUCUUCAAAAUCCUUGUAUUACUUGAACGAGUUUAUAUAAAUGAUGAUUUCUUCCAUUUUAUUAAUAUACCCCCAAAAAUGUCUACAUCCUCAAAUUUAUAUAUUUUGCUUCUCUCCACAGGAACCUGAGCCAAAGAGACGUCAUACUUCCAUACAAGAUUCAUCAGAUUCUGAUGACUAGCCACAGGUUAAAUAAGGGCACGUGCUAAUUAGGGUGUGCAGUACCCUGGGAAAGCCCUACAAUAUGCAACCUUUCUCCACCCAGCUGUCCCUGUCCUUGCACCCAUGCUGCCAUCUUUUCCUGGCUGCUGCUUCAGAAUGUGGGUGAACAAAGAAGAGAAUGCAAGUUCUACCUCACUCCAAAGCUAUGUUUGUGUGUGUGUGUUUUUUUUAUUUUUUUAUUUUUUAUUAUUAUUAUUUAUUGAAAUGGAACUUAUAACCUUAUUGAAAUUAUGUUCUGUUAUGUAUUUACUUUUAUUUCAUUUAAUUAAUUAUGUAUUUCUUUUUUUCUCUUUCAUUUACAUCACUACCAUAUUAGGCCUGUUAGUAAUGCUUUCUUUACCAUGUACUAAGAUGUCUUGUAUUUUUAGUUGUGGGGUAGGAGAUGCUAUUUUCAUAUUUUCUUCAAAUGUGUUUUUUCAAAGGAUUAUGUCUUUAUUUCCCUACUGAGGCUAUAAAUUAGUGAAUUUUGAUAAAAUGUGUAUCUGCGUAUUUUUAGUUGUGGGGUAGGAGAUGCUAAUAUAAUUUUUUUUCUUCAAAUAUGUUUUUUUCCAAGGAUCAUGUCUAUAUUCCUACUGAGCUUAUAAAUUAGUGGAUUCUGAUAAAAUGUGUAUCUGCAGCACAGAGUUAUAGAUACAUAGAGUGUUGGUCCUGUGGUGGUCAGCUUUUCCCAACAGAGAUGGACUGAUGGCCAAAAGAUCAGAAAUUGAUGAUUUCACACACUUUGUUCUAACUCGGUUUCCAAACAUUACUAUUUGAUACUGAGAAAAAACUGGCAUCACCACAUUUUUCCCCUGGAAUUCCUGCAUUUGAUAAGAUAUAUAAUAGUAAGUGAAGAGCAAAUGUAGAUAUAGUAAAAUAAAGAUUCAAUAAAAUAGUGCAUGAACAUUUUUCCAUUUAUUUGGCUGUAAAUCAUUGUUGCUUAGCAACAAUGAUUUACAGCCAAAGGACAGCACUAUUCAAGUGCUGUUCUUGAAUCUGCAAUAUUUCCCAGUUAUGUAGCUAUAGGCUGCAUCCCAUUAACCUUUGUGUACCAUUCCAUUUAGUCCCCACUUAAGCGCAUUUUUUUUUUCAUUGCACUUAAUAGCAUAUAAACCUGUUGAAUACAGAAAUUUUUCAGAAAGAUGAUGGUGACGUUAGUUUUCUUAAUCGCACAUUGUAGUGUAAGGAAAUUGGGUAAAAGCAAAGUGUGAAAUCAAUUUCUGGUCAAUCGGCUUACUACUUGUGGCCACCAGUCCAUCACUGGCAAGAACAGCUGACCACCAUAGAGCCACCACUCUAUGUAUCUAUAACCGUGUGAUCUGCAACAGUUAUAUAAAAGCACAGUAUAGGCCGAUUUAAAGCACUUGGUUUGUCACUAUUUUUAUUUUAUUUUUUAUAUUGAUCCUCAAUUUUCAAAGUAAUAUUACUUUAUAUAUAUAAGUGCUCUGUAAGUGACCUUUUCACGUGCAUUUCUACGUGGUGUCCACAUUACAUCUAUUAGGCAGAUCUACGUUGAAUUCACGGAGAAAUCUAACGUGGGUGCAACGUUGAGUUCACGUAAAUCAGCUGAAGUGCUCUAUAAGUGAUGUAAAAGUGACGUUUUCACGUGCAUUUCUACGUUGUAUUCACGUUAUUUCGAUUCGACACAUCUACGUUGAACUCACGGAGAAAUAUAACGUGGCUGCAACGAUAACGCAACGUUGUGGGCACGUGGAUUCUACGUGGAUUUGUUUGCUGGGUAGUAAACUCUCAAGCCUGGCAGUGCAAUACGGUAAGUAUGAUUAUUUUAUUUCUCUUCAAUAAGAACAUGGAGAAGAAUUGCAAUCCAUCUGUGUGUGUGUGUGUGUGUGUGUGUGUGUGUGUGUGUGUGUGUGUGUGUGU
rnacentral:misc_RNA from 1 species